rnacentral:rRNA from 1 species
GCAAAAUAUACAGGACGCCAUGCUUAGAAGUAACCCAUGUGAUGAUUUUAACGUUUUGGAUCUAAUAAGAUCUCUAGACAUUGUUAAAUCAUCCGGAAAACGUCACACUUCUUCUACGAAAUAUAAUAUAACUAUAGACGCCACGAGCGAUAAAACGAACUUAACACCAUUUUUUUCUGAGUUAAUGAACCGUGCUUAUAAAAAACGCAAUAAUUGUAGAGAGUCAAAUGAAAUUAUAGUAGUUCACGUUGAUCAGGUUGCGAGAACCCACCAACAGUUGCUUCAAGUAGCGCAUUAGCUAAGCCAUCAUUUUCAACGACAGCGUUCCAGGCUUCAAGCUUUGCAGCUGCUGUUGGAAUCCCUGCUUUAGCUGAAGCAGCUUGGCGCUGACCACCUGCAGUGUUGUCACGAGCGAGCUCGCUAUCGAUCGCUGCUGGUGUUAGGACACCAAGUGAAACCAGUCCGUGGAAGUUGCACGAGUGAGAAUGUAGACAUGAGUAGCGAAAGAUGGGUGAGAAACCCGUCCGCCGAAUGACCAAGGGUUCCUGGGCCAGGCUAAUCCGCCCAGGGUAAGUCGGGACCUAAGACGAGGCCGUCAGGCGUAGUCGAUGGACAACUGGUUGAUAUUCCAGUACCUGCUUAGAGCGCCCAUGCCGAGCCCGCUAAUGCUAAGUGCCUGAAGUCUGACUGGCGUAAAACCCAGGCUGGAUGGAGCGCGCGAACCAAGGUGGUAGUAGGCAAGCAAUGGUGUGACACAGGAAGGUAGUUGAUCCCGGGCGAUGGUUGUCCCGGGGUAAGGAUGUAGGGUGGUGCGUAGGUAAAUCCGCGUGCUAAUACCUGAGAUCUGAUGCCGAGCCGUAUGGCGAAGUCAAUGAUCCUAUGCUGUCAAGAAAAGCAUCUAGCGAGCUCAAAAGCAGCCCGUACCCGAAACCGACACAGGUGGUCAGGUAGAGAAUACCAAGGCGAUCGAGAGAAUCGUGGUGAAGGAACUCGGCAAAUUACCCCCGUAACUUCGGGAGAAGGGGGGCCAAUUCGCGUGUAAGGGUUUACCCCUGAAGCGUGAGUCGGCCGCAGAGACUAGGCUCAAGCGACUGUUUACCAAAAACACACGUCCGUGCAAAGUUGCAAAACGACGUAUACGGACUGACGCCUGCCCGGUGCUGGAAGGUUAAGGGGACUGGUUAGCCGCAAGGCGAAGCUGAGAACUUAAGCCCCAGUAAACGGCGGUGGUAACUAUAACCAUCCUAAGGUAGCGAAAUUCCUUGUCGGGUAAGUUCCGACCUGCACGAAUGGCGUAACGACUUCCCAGCUGUCUCAACCACGAACUCGGCGAAAUUGCACUACGAGUAAAGAUGCUCGUUACGCGCAGCAGGACGGAAAGACCCCGGGACCUUUACUACAGCUUGGUAUUGGUGUUCGGUGUGGCUUGUGUAGGAUAGGUGGGAGACUUUGAAGCGAGGACGCUAGUUCUCGUGGAGUCAUUGUUGAAAUACCACUCUUGUAGCCCUGGAUAUCUAACCACGAACCGUAAUCCGGUUCUGGAACAGUGCCUGGUGGGUAGUUUAACUGGGGCGGUUGCCUCCUAAAAAGUAACGGAGGCGCCCAAAGGUUCCCUCAGCCUGGUUGGUAAUCAGGUGUCGAGUGUAAGUGCACAAGGGAGCUUGACUGUGAGACUGACAAGUCGAGCAGGGACGAAAGUCGGGACUAGUGAUCCGGCAGUGGCUUGUGGAAGCGCUGUCGCUCAACGGAUAAAAGGUACCCCGGGGAUAACAGGCUGAUCUUGCCCAAGAG